AAAACUCCAAGUUCUUACC
rnacentral:snRNA from 1 species